rnacentral:rRNA from 1 species
AGUGAACGCUGGCGGUAGGCCUAACACAUGCCAGUCGAACGGCAGCACAGUAAGAGCUUGCUCUUACGGGUGGCGAGUGGCGGACGGGUGAGGAAUACAUCGGAAUCUACUUUUUCGUGGGGGAUAACGUAGGGAAACUUACGCUAAUACCGCAUACGACCUACGGGUGAAAGCAGGGGAUCUUCGGACCUUGCGCGAUUGAAUGAGCCGAUGUCGGAUUAGCUAGUUGGCGGGGUAAAGGCCCACGAAGGCGACGAUCCGUAGCUGGUCUGAGAGGAUGAUCAGCCACACUGGAACUGAGACACGGUCCAGACUCCUACGGGAGGCAGCAGUGGGGAAUAUUGGACAAUGGGCGCAAGCCUGAUCCAGCCAUACCGCGUGGGUGAAGAAGGCCUUCGGGUUGUAAAGCCCUUUUGUUGGGAAAGAAAAGCAGCAGGUUAAUACCCCGCUGUUCUGACGGUACCCAAAGAAUAAGCACCGGCUAACUUCGUG